AUAAACAAGAUGUGUCUGCGUUCUUGCAGAAGGUAGGUGGGUCUCACUGUACAUUUCUGACUCUCAGUCCUGCGGGAUUAAUGGCGCUUCUCUGAAGUAAACUCCAGCUAUCUCAACCAGAAAUUCAGCAUGGAGAAAGGGAGUAUUAAGACCAUUUCACAACUCAGGAGCAGGAAAAUAUCCAUUAUCAUUGUCCUUUGAGAAGCUUGCCAACACAUUCAGUCUAAUUGCAGAAGUGUAGAUUUCGAAGCCAACAAAUGUUUUGCAACAAUUCAUACCACUGUAACCCUUCCUGGAGUGAAGGAGCUACAAUCAUGGAGCUACAGUCCUUGAGAGAUAAUUUUAAGAAGACCCAGGCACUACUGAGUUUUCCAGAGUUCCUUCUAGAGCCCAGCUUAUACACGGGGCACUUUAAUGUGAUUUCAAAGUCAUUUGCCUGCAUCACCAUCUCCAUCCUUCUACACACCUCCCAUGGGGGCAAGGAUUUAUUUUAUUCCUGUGGUGUCCCCGGAGCCGAACAGAGGCAUUUUGGAUAAAUCUGCAGGAGGGUCACAAGUCCAAGUUACUUUGGAGGUACUCCUUUGUGACUCUUUGAGUGUGUUCAGCAGCCCAAUGGAGGUCGUCAUAUUGUUUACAGUCCCAGCAGUGAUGGGGUAGUAAUAGUGCCUCUUUGCCUAAGGGGAAGUGCCCCUCUUUCCAAGGACAAGACCUCCACCUGGCUUUGGAUCCAGUCCUUCCUGCCUUCUCAAGAACCCUGAAC